GACGAACGCUGGCGGCGUGCUUAACACAUGCAAGUCGAACGGAAAGGCCCUGCUUUUGUGGGGUGCUCGAGUGGCGAACGGGUGAGUAACACGUGAGUAACCUGCCCUUGACUUUGGGAUAACUUCAGGAAACUGGGGCUAAUACCGGAUAGGAGCUCCUGCUGCAUGGUGGGGGUUGGAACGUUUCGGCGGUUGGGGAUGGACUCGCGGCUUAUCAGCUUGUUGGUGGGGUAGUGGCUUACCAAGGCUUUGGCGGGUAGCCGGCCUGAGGGGGUGACCGGCCACAUGGGGACUGAGAUACGGCCCAGUCGCCUACGGGAGGCAGCAGUGGGGAAUAUUGCACAAUGGGCGGAAGCCUGAUGCAGCAACGCCGCGUGCGGGAUGACGGCCUUCGGGUUGUAAACCGCUUUCGCCUGUGACGAAGCGUGAGUGACGGUAAUGGGUAAAGAAGCACCGGCUAACUACGUG
rnacentral:rRNA from 1 species